CCUACGGGGGGCAGCAGUGAGGAAUAUUGGUCACUGGACGAGAGUCUGAACCAGCCAAGUAGCGUGAAGGAUGACUGCCCUAUGGGUUGUAAACUUCUUUUAUAAAGGAAUAAAACGAGGCACGUGUGCCUUUUUGCAUGUACUUUAUGAAUAAGGAUCGGCUAACUCCGUGCCAGCAGCCGCAGUAAUACGGAGGAUCCGAGCGUUAUCCGGAUUUAGUGGGUUUAAAGGGAGCGUAGAUGGGUUGUUAAGUCAGUUGUGAAAGUUUGCGGAUCAACCUUAAAAUUGCAAUUGAUACUGGCAGUCUUGAGUACAGUUGAGGUAGGCGGAAUUCGUGGUGUAGCGGUGAAAUGCUUAGAUAUCACGAAGAACCCCGAUUGCGAAGGCAGCUUACUAAACUGUGACUGACAUUGAUGCUCGAAAGUGUGGGUAUCAAACAGGAUUAAAUACCCGAGUAGUC
rnacentral:rRNA from 1 species